GAUGAAGAACGCAGCGAAAUGCGAUAAGUAAUGUGAAUUGCAGAAUUCAGUGAAUCAUCGAAUCUUUGAACGCACCUUGCGCCCUUUGGCCAUUCCGAAGGGCAUGCCUGUUUGAGUAUCAUGAACACCUCAACUCUUUAUGGUUUUCCAUGAUGAGCUUGGACUCUGGGGGUUUUGCUGGCUCACAGUCGGCUCCUCUAAAAUGAAUCAGCUUACCAGUGUUUGGUGGGUAUCAUGGGUGUGAUAACUAUCUACGCUUGUGGUUUUUCCACCAGGUAACCUUCAGCAGUGGAGGUUCGCUGGAGCUCAUAGAUGUCUCUCCUCAGUGAGGACCGCCCUUUGAAAGUUUGAUCUCAAAUCAGGUAGGACUACCCGCUGAACUUAAGCAUAUCAAUAAGCGGAGGA
rnacentral:misc_RNA from 1 species